CAGUAGCCGCGGGAAUACGAAGGGGGCUAGCGUUGUUCGGAAUUACUGGGCGUAAAGCGCACGUAGGCGGAUAUUUAAGUCAGGGGUGAAAUCCCAGAGCUCAACCUUGGAACUGCCUUUGAUACUGUUUGUCUUGAGUUCGAGAGAGGUAAGUGGAAUUCCUAGUGUAGCGGUGAAAUGCGUAGAUAUUAGGAAGAACACCAGUGGCGAAGGCGACUUUCUGGACGAAAACUGAAGCUGAGGCGCGAAAGCUAGGGGAGCAAAUGGGAUUAGAUACCCCAGUAGUCCCUGUCUCUUAUAC
rnacentral:rRNA from 1 species